rnacentral:rRNA from 1 species
AUUGAACGCCGGCGGCAGGCCUAACACAUGCAAGUCGAGCGGGGUUUUCGGACCUAGCGGCGGACGGGUGAGUAAUGCGUAGGAAGCUGCCCGAUAGAGGGGGAUACCAGUUGGAAACGACUGUUAAUACCGCAUAAUGUCUACGGACCAAAGUGUGGGACCUUCGGGCCACAUGCUAUCGGAUGCGCCUACGUGGGAUUAGCUAGUUGGUGAGGUAAUGGCUCACCAAGGCGACGAUCUCUAGCUGGUUUGAGAGGAUGAUCAGCCACACUGGAACUGAGACACGGUCCAGGCUCAUACGGGAGGCAGCAGUGGGGAAUAUUGGACAAUGGGCGCAAGCCUGAUCCAGCCAUGCCGCGUGUGUGAAGAAGGCCUUCGGGUUGUAAAGCACUUUCAGCGAGGAGGAAGGGUGAUGUGUUAAUAGCACAUCAUUUUGACGUUACUCGCAGAAGAAGCACCGGCUAACUCUGUGCCAGCAGCCGCGGUAAAAC